CAAAAACGGAAAGACGACGAAUAAACAAGGAGAAAUGGAAGUUUUGUAUUCCAGCAGAAUGGAAAGGGAGAAAGAUGGUGAGAAAAGGAGGAAGUGGAGAGAAUGAAGCAGCUGCGCCGGAGAACAAACGACAAAAGAAGAACAAGAAGGAGAAUAAGAAGAAGAGGAGGAAGUACCGGUGGGCCUGAGAACCGGCUCUCUCUCUCACACACACACACACACACACGCACACGUACACUCGGGAAAUCGUGAGGAAGCAUGGCAGUGGGCGCGUUAGCGUGCAUGUGCACGCGUGCCUGUGAACGCCAUCAGAAGUACUGACCUCCAUUUACAGAUUAAAUUCGAAUAUCUGUUCAAUGUAAUUAUUCUCUUCAUUCUGUAGUGUGCCUCUUGUCUGCACUGCUUGAAGUACAUAUAAGUGAAUGUUAGAUUUUUUUGGGGGGGGGGUUGUUUUUAUCCAAUCACAUUUCAGCCUCUCUUUGUUGCCAUGUCAACUUUAUCCGCCUUCAGAAUCAGCAGUGCAGGCCCAAUGGAAUUUAGUCUUGGCUAUUUGAAUGUUUCUUUUUUGGCCCUCAUGUCCUGAUGUCAGCAUUUUCUGAUUGGUCAGUCUGAGCGAAAACUGCUUGACGAGCAAAACACAUUGGUAGCAAUUUGCACACAUGAAUGUAUUUACUAAUUUGCAUCUUUGGUGACUAUGAUGUAUCUAAGGAUUUUUAAAAAAACAUACAGUAUUUUUGUCAUUUUAUUAGAUAAACUUUGAUUGUGAACGUCAUGAUUGCACCCAAAAAGAUUUCGAGGGCAGCCAUGUUUUAAACACACAUGGUUCGAUUCUCUUAGUUUAACUUUUCAGUAUACUUCAACUUUAGUUUGAUGUUUAGUUUGACAAUGAACUUCAACUGACACUGGCGUUAAACAUUUGGAAGCCUCUUUUUGUUCCCUUCCCCCACCCCGUAUUGUUACGUAUUUGCCAAACUGCUGCUUAUUGUGAAGUGAGUUGAGAUCAUGGCACCCGUACAAGUGCUUGUACGUCAAGUAUGUACUCGCAAGUCAAAGCAAAAAAAUCCUGUCAUCGUAAACACUUAUGGUGCUUCACUCAUAUCUCAAUGCACCGUAGCAUAAUUUGAUCAAGAUUUCAUGAAGACUCAGUAAAAGUGUGUGGAAACAGACAGACAGCCCCACCAUCUGUAUUUCCGUGUGUGUGUGUGUGUGUGUGUGUGUCAGGGCUCUGAGAAUAACUCUGGAACAGGAAGUCUAAAUCCAGCCCAGACCAGGAAGAAAAGUGUGUGAGAGGAACAAACAAAUCAGGAAAUCCUCCGUCCAACCCCCCUUUACAUAUCACACAGUUUCUCACACACACACACACACACAAAUACACACGGCCGAGCGCUCACACACUCCCAAGAACCCUAAAACAGACAAACAAUACACAAACAUAUUAACAAAUGUACAUCACACACACAGAUUUGAAAAAAAGAAAACGCGCACAAACACAAAAA